AGAGUUUGAUCNGGCUCAGAAGUUUGAUCCUGGCUCAGAUUGAACGCUGGCGGCAGGUUUAACACAUGCAAGUCGAGCGGUAACAUUUCUAGCUUGCUAGAAGAUGACGAGCGGCGGACGGGUGAGUAAUGCUUGGGAAUAUGCCUUUACGUGGGGGACAACAAGUUGGAAACGACUGCUAAUACCGCAUAAAUCUUCGGACCAAAGGAGGGGAUGCUUCGGCACCUUUCGCGUAAAGAUUAGCCCAAGUGGGAUUAGCUAGUUGGUGAGGUAAUGGCUCACCAAGGCGACGAUCCCUAGCUGGUUUGAGAGGAUGAUCAGCCACACUGGGACUGGGACACGGCCCAAACUCUUACGGGAGGGAGCAGUGGGGAAUAUUGCACACUGGGCGAAAGCCUGUUGCACCCAUGCCGCGUGUGUGAAAAAGGCCUUCGGGUUGUAAAGCAGAAGUAAAAUCCCCGGGCUCAACCUUUGAAUGGCAUUUGUAACUGGCAAGCUAGAGGGGGGUAUAUGGAGGACCAAUUUCACGUGUUACGGUGAAAUGCGUAGAGAUCUGAAGGAAUACCAGUGGCGAAGGCGGACACCUGGACAAAAACUGACGCUCAUGUACGAAGCGUGGGGAGCAAACAGGAUUAGAUACCCUGGUAGUCCACGCCGUAAACGAUGUCUACUAGUUGUCUGUGAGUUUAACUCGUGGGUAACGCAGCUAACGCAUUAAGUAGACCGCCUGGGGAGUACGGCCGCAAGGUUAAAACUCAAAUGAAUUGACGGGGGCCCGCACAAGCGGGUGAGCAUGUGGUUUAAUUCGAUGCAACGCGAAGAACCUUACCUGCCCUUGACAUACUGAGAAUUUACCAGAGAUGGUUUAGUGCCUUCGGGAACUCAGAUACAAGGGCUGCAAGGCUGUCGUCAGCUCGUGUCGUGAGAUGUUGGGUUAAGUCCCGCAACGAGCGCAGCCCCUAUCCUUAUUUGCAGCACGUAAUGGUGGGAACUCUAGGGAGCUGCCGGUGAUAAACCGGAGGAAGGUGGGGACGACUCAAGUCAUCAUGGCCUUACGGGCAGGGCUACACACGUGCUACAAUGGCAUGUACAGAGGGGAUGCGAACUCGCGAGAGCAAGCGGACCCCAAAAAGCAUGUCGUAGUCCGGAUCGGAGUCUGCAACUCGACUCCGUGAAGUCGGAAUCGCUAGUAAUCGUAGAUCAGAAUGCUAGGGUGAAUACGUUCCCGGGCCUUGUACACCCCGCCCGUCACACCAUGGGAGUGGGCUGCAAAAGAAGUGGGUAGUUUAACCUUCGGGAGGACGCUCACCACUAUGGGNUGGANCACCUCCUU
rnacentral:rRNA from 1 species